rnacentral:rRNA from 1 species
UACGUAGGGGGCAAGCGUUGUCCGGAAUCAUUGGGCGUAAAGAGCGCGUAGGCGGCCCUGUAAGUCCGCUGUGAAAGUCAAGGGCUCAACCCUUGAAUGCCGGUGGAUACUGCAGGGCUAGAGUCCAGAAGAGGCGACUGGAAUUCCUGGUGUAGCGGUGAAAUGCGCAGAUAUCAUGAGGAACAUCUGUGGCGAAGGCGAAUCUCUGGCUCGUUUCUGACACUGAGACGCGAAAGCGUGGGGAGCAAACAGG